CUCACACCGAAUACAGUGUACAAACAUUUUCCUAUUCAUUCAAUCAUGGAUUCAAGAGCAGUUCAAACUCAUUCGCAUGAACAUCACCAUAAUUCUCACAAUGUUGGGUCACACGCAGUGGCACAUGGUGAAGAACAACACCACCAUGACCAUGAGAAGAAGUCGGUUCUGAAGAAAGUCAAGCAAAAGGCUAAGAAAAUUAAGGACACAAUCACAAAGCAUGGCCAUCAUGACCAUGAACAUGAACAUGGUCAUGAGUAUCACCUUGAUGAUCAACAUAUCCCUGAUGAUCAUGACUUGGAAGAGGAAGAUGAGAUGGAUGAAUACCCAGAAGUCCAUGGAGCACCGAUUUAUGACAGUGCCGCUGUUAGAGGUGCAGCACCAGGGCAUGCCAAUACUUUAGGGAGGCCUGGAGUUAAUUUUGGAGGCACAACAGUUAUGGGAGUAGAACCUCUUCACGAGCUAAGAGUUGUAGUUGUUUCUCCAACUACUGAAAUUAAUCAAAACAGAACCACUGACCCAACUAGAACAUUUGUUGAGGGAGAGAAAGCAGUGCAUCGUAAGGUCAAUUUGGAGAGACCAAUGUACUUGGAGGAAGAUCCACAUGCGCCAAGAAGUACAUCUCAAGCAUAUGCUCCAGCCAAUUAUCAAACCAAAGUCACUGAUCCUACCGGGGCAGGUGGGGCAGAAAUUGACAUUACCCCUGUUGAGAAAUCUUUCUCUAGGAUGGCUGUUCACAAUGAGCCAAAACCAUACCCAGAACCAAAACUCUUUUCAACUGUUCCUGAAACUCACUACCCUUCUGCUGGAAGCCACUCCCAACUUGCACCAGAGCUAUCUUCUGCAACUAACUACCCAACUAACUACCCAUCUGCUCAAAGCUAUGGUCAGUACAUGCCAGAACUAUCUAGUGAAGUUAAAACUCAGUACCCCAAAAGCCAUAAUCAGUUUAUGCCAGAGUUAUCUACACCAACCAAAACUCCCUACCCUUCCACCAAUAUCCAUGACCAACACUUACCACAACAAUCUAGUGCAACAAAAACUCAAUACCCUUUAUCUGGAAGUCAUGACAAGUUUGCACCAGUGUUAUCUACUGAACCUAACAUUCAGUACCCUUCAACCAAAAUCCAUGACCAAGACUUGCCUCAGCAGUUUACUGCAACAAAAACUCAAUACCCUUCAUCUGGAAGCCAUGAUCAGUUAACACCAGAAUUAUCUUUCUCUACUGAACCUAACCUUCAGUACACUUCAACAAAAAUCCAUGACCAACACUUGCCACGACAAUUUAGUACAAAUGCAACACAUACUAUAUGUCCUUCAGCUGGAAGUCAUGAUCAAUUUCUACCAGAAUAUCCAACUCAAACCAAAACCCCACAAACCUAUACCACCACCCAAGUUGAGGAACCACACUAUGAACCAUCAAACGAGAGCAGUUACACAGAUAAAAUCUCCUCCGCAACCACAGCAAUAGCUGACAAAGCCAUCACUGCCAAAAAUGUUGUAGCUUCAAAGCUCGGAUACGGUGAUGACACCACCGAAAAAACUCAAACAAAUCAUAAAGAAGAGAACACAAGCAAUGAAAAACCGUCAACAAUCACAUCAGCAACCUCAGCCAAAAACACUGUCUCUUCGGAUCACCAAGAGAACACAGGCAGUGCAAAGCCAUCAACAAUCUCUUCAGCAACCUCUGCAAUAGCUGAUAAAGCCAUAUCAGCCAAAAACACAGUCUCUUCCAAGCUCGGAUACGCUGACAACAACACCGAAACAACUCAAGCAAGCCAUCAAGAGAACACACAACCAUCAACAAUCUCUUUAGCAACAGCUGCAAUAGCCGAUAAAGCCGUCUCAGCAAAAAACACCGUAGCUUCCAAGCUCGGAUAUGGCGACAACACUGAAACAAAAACAACUCAAACCACUCAAACAAGGAAUCAAUUAAAGAACACAGGCAAUGAGAAACCUUCAACAAUCUCAUCAGCAACCUCUGCAAUAGCUGAUAAAGCUGUCUCAGCCAAAAACACCGUAGCUUCGAAGCUUGGUUUUGGCGACACAGCAACAACAACACAACAAGAGAAGAGAACUGACCAUGCUGCUGCUCCUACAGAAUAUGGAAAAAGUGUUGCUCAGUCCCUGAGAGAGAAACUAGCUCCAGUUUCUGGAAAAGAUGCUGGUGUAGGAAGUGGUGUGAAGUCCAAAGUUUCUGGAACUCAAACUAGUAGUAUGGGUGUGGAACAGGACAAGGGGGUUUCUGUGAAGGACUAUUUGGUGGACAAACUGAGGCGUGGUGAUGAAGACAGGGCUCUCUCUGAAGUGAUAUCAGAGACUCUGCACAAGAAGGAACUGCCCCCAGUGGAAGUUACUGAAGAAGGUGUGAGAAAGGUGGUUUCUGAUGCUGUGCAUAAGAGAGAGGAUGAUCCUGAGAGAAGAAUGGAACAUCAAAGAAUACUGGGAAAGGUAACUGAGUCAGAGGAAGUGAAGAGAAGGUUAGGAGGUGAAAGUGUGGUGACAGAGAAAAAGUACCAAGAGAUGUAUGUGAAUAGUCCAGGGAAAGGUGUGGUUGAUAAGCUUAAAGGUGUGGUUGGGACAUGCUUUACCAACCCAGCAGAGAAUCAAUCUUCACAAGAUUCAUCUAUGAAUUAUGAGGCAGGAAGGGCAGAAGUGGAACAAGUUAACCAAGGUGCAGCAGGUGAAAGAAGGCUGCAGGAGUCAUCUAAUUGAAGAAGGGCUUUGAAGGAGUCUUUGCUUUGGGUGAUUGUGUAGAUUUUCUUAAAAGCUGUUUCUAUAUCUGUUUAGGAUGUUCAAGUCACAGUAAAAUAAAAAAUUUGUGUUUUUUUUUAAUGUUUAUGUAAAUAUCCAAUUUUUUCCGGGUUUA